AUAUAUGCCAUUUAGCAGACGCUUUUAUACAAAGCGACUUACAGUCAUGUGUGCAUACAUUCUACGUAUGGGUGGUCCCGGGGAUCGAACCCACUACACUGGCGUUACAAGCGCCAUGCUCUACCAACUGAGCUACAGAAGGACCAGGUGAGGGGGAUGGAGGUAGAUUGAGGUGAUAUGGAGGUAGUUUGAGGUGAGGGGGAUGGAGGUAGAUUGAGGUGAUAUGGAGGUAGUUUUAGGUGAGGGGGUGGAGGUAGAUUGAGGUGAUAUGGAGGUAGUUUGAGGUGAGGGGGAUGGAGGUAGAUUGAGGUGAUAUGGCGGUAGUUUUAGGUCGAGGGGGAUGGAGGUAGAUUGAGGUGAUAUGGUGGUAGUUUGAGGUGAGGGGAUGGAGGUAGUUUGAGGUGAGGGGGAUGGAGGUAGAUUGAGGUGAUAUGGAGGUAGUUUGAGGUGAGGGGAGAUGGAGGUAAAUGGCGGUAGUUUGAGGUGAGGGGAGAUGGAGGUAGAUUGAGGUGAUAUGGUGGUAGUUUGAGGUGAGGGAGAUGGAGGUAGAUUGAGGUGAUAUGGUGGUAGUUUGAGGUGAGGGAGAUGGAGGUAGAUUGAGGUGAUAUGGUGGUAGUUUGAGGUGAGGGGAGAUGGAGGUAGAUUGAGGUGAUGUGGUGGUAGUUUGAGGUGAGGGGGAUGGAGGUAGAUUGAGGUGAUAUGGUGGUAAUUUGAGGUGAGGGAGAUGGAGGUAGAUUGAGGUGAUAUGGUGGUAGUUUGAGGUGAGGGGAGAUGGAGGUAGAUUGAGGUGAUGUGGUGGUAGUUUGAGGUGAGGGGGAUGGAGGUAGAUUGAGGUGAUAUGGUGGUAAUUUGAGGUGAGGGAGAUGGAGGUAGAUUGAGGUGAUAUGGUGGUAGUUUGA